rnacentral:rRNA from 1 species
UACGAAGGGGGCUAGCGUUGCUCGGAAUCACUGGGCGUAAAGCGCACGUAGGCGGAUCCUUAAGUCGGGGGUGAAAUCCUGGAGCUCAACUCCAGAACUGCCUUCGAUACUGAGGAUCUCGAGUCCGGGAGAGGUGAGUGGAACUGCGAGUGUAGAGGUGAAAUUCGUAGAUAUUCGCAAGAACACCAGUGGCGAAGGCGGCUCACUGGCCCGAUACUGACGCUGAAGCACGAAAGCGUGGGGAGCAAACAGGG